UGAGUAACGCGUGAGUAACCUGCCUCUUAGAGGGGGAUAACAUUCUGAAAAGAAUGCUAAUACCGCAUAUAAUUAUGAAAGUCGCAUGACUCUAUAAUGAAAGGAGCAAUCCGCUGAGAGAUGGACUCGCGUCUGAUUAGCUAGAUGGUGAGGUAACGGCUCACCAUGGCGACGAUCAGUAGCCGGACUGAGAGGUUGAACGGCCACAUUGGGACUGAGACACGGCCCAGACUCCUACGGGAGGCAGCAGUGGGGGAUAUUACGCAAUGGGGGAAACCCUGACGUUAAGCAAUGCCGCGUGAAGGAUGAAGGUUUUCGGAUUGUAAACUUCUUUUGUCAGGGAACGAUAAUGGACGGUACCUGACGAAUAAGCUCCGGCUAACCUAUGUGCCAGCCGCAGC
rnacentral:rRNA from 1 species